AGUACUUUCAGUAAAAUAAAUAACAUAUUUUGUUUUAGACACGACAUUAUUCAUGCAGCAAAAAAUGACAAGUGCAUCCAAGCUGACAACGUUGGCGCCAUACAUUUUUCCGUUUUUUAGAGGAAGUUGUUAUGCCAUUCUUACAAUUUUUCUGAUUUUUAUAUGGAAAAAGUGAUUUUUCUGUGCACUAUAUAAGUCUGUUCUGUUUCUUAAGGCCUGUUUAAUCUCCUGAAAAUGAGUAUUAUUAAUACACACCCAUCCUGCAAAGACCACCUAAAAUAGAAGAGAUCUGGAUCACCUCUUAAAUAAUUCUGAUGUUUGGCUAUCAUUCCAGUUUACGAGAUUGAUUUCACAUUAUCCAAAUAAAGCUUUUGUACAACAAAUCAAUGGAUGUAUACAGUUCCAAGGCAGUACAUUUAUCCUUUUGGUGAAUAUCAUAUUAACAACAAUGUGCACCAGGACAGCUGCACUUCAAUUCAACCACUCUGUCUUCAAGAUGCCAUUAUGUUGAUUACAUUCAACAGUAGAUUGAGGAUGAAAUUCAUCAUGAAGAGGAACUAAAUAACUUUAGAACCGAGACUUUCCAGAAGUAUGGCCAGAAGAUUUAUUCACCUCAACAUACGCAUCAGCAUGUCCAUCAAGACCUUGGAUUGAAGACACUUUUAAUAUUACUGUUGUUAAUAAAAUAUAAUAUACUAAUAAAUAAUAAUUAAUAAUAAAUGAGUUUUAUUGGACUAAAAUAUAUUAUACUGUCUAUUCGUGAACAAAUCGAAAAUGCUUUUAACUAUCACAAUUAUAAAUAAAUAAUAUAUUCUCAUACUAAACUACUUAACAAGAGUUGUUCUGGAGUGGACAGUAUUCUAUAAUAUCUAUUCCUACCCUUCAAAAUCCAACAUUUGAGAGAUCGAAAGAAAGUUUAUCAGAGCAUAUUUGACUUGGUAAAUGCUCAGAUAUUUAGAUCAAAAAUUUUCAACUAAAUGGUGAAUGUAACUGCUUACUCCCUGGUAUCAAAAUAUAUCUCCUCGCUCUCAUAUGUUGCUGAAAAUAAUUCCAGAUCCCUCAUUUUUAACAAAAGUUGCC